AUUGAACGCUGGCGGCGUGCCUAACACAUGCAAGUCGAGCGGUAACAGGUGUAGCAAUACAUGCUGACGAGCGGCGAACGGGUGAGUAAUGCUUCGGAAUCUGCCCAUGUAGUGGGGAAUAACCAGCCGAAAGGUUGGCUAAUACCGCAUACGACCUACGGGUGAAAGCAGGGGAUCGCAAGACCUUGCGCUAUUGGAUGAGCCGAAGUCGGAUUAGCUUGUUGGUAGGGUAACGGCCUACCAAGGCGACGGAUCCGUAGCUGGUCUGAGAGGACGACCAGCCACACUGGGACUGAGACACGGCCCAGACUCCUACGGGAGGCAGCAGUGGGAAUAUUGGACAAUGGGGGCGAACCCUGAUCCAGCGACGCCGCGUGUGUG
rnacentral:rRNA from 1 species